rnacentral:lncRNA from 1 species
UUUGCCUUUUAAUUUCACCUAUUUUUUAAAAUAACUUACGAUAUAAUUCAGACAGUACAAUCCCCCACUGAACGUGUACCAAUCAAUGGUUUUCAGUAUUCUUAGAGUUGUUCAACCAUAUCCACCAUCACUUUUAGAACUUUUUCCUCAACCCCCACAGAGAAACUCCAUACCCACCAGCAGUCCCUCCCUCUCCCCCUCCAGCUCCCCAGCCCUAGGCAAUCACUGUCUCUAACUUUGCCAGUUCUGGACAUUUCAUAUAAGUGAAAUAAUACAAUCCGUGGUCUUCGGCAAUGGCUUCUUUCACAAAGCAUCCUAUUUUCAAGAUUCGUCCAGGCUGUAGCGUGUCUCAGGACUUUAUUUCUGCUUAUUGCAAGAUAUCAUUCUGCUCUAUGGCUAUGCCACAUUCGAUUGGUUCAUUCAUUGGUUGAGGGACAUUUGGGUGGUGUCCACUUUUUGGCUCUUACGAACAUUCGAGUCCAUGUUUUAUGUGGACAUGUGUUGCCAUUUCUCUUGGGUGGGACUGCUGGAUGGUACAGUAGCUCUGUGUUUGGAGGAAAUGCUAGACUAGUUGCUAAAGCAACUAAACCAUUUUACAUUCCCACCACCCAUGUAGGAGGAUUCAGCUUCUCUUACCCCCUCACCAACAUACACGAUUAUCUGUCUGUUUUAUGAUAGCCCCCUACCCAUUUUUAAAUAGUUCCAGGAGAUGGGAUUUCUGUUGAAAGUGGCUUUGAUCAAUUAUCUGGGUUCCUCUGAGGUGACCACAUGUCUAGGGGGUUAUUCUAAAACUGAUUCCCCAGCACCUCACCAUUCUGGGGUUUAAAUUCCAAGGGUGCUGAGUAGAUGUGGCCCCAAGCAGCAAACCAAGAGUCCAGAUAAAUUCCACGAUGGCAUGAGUUCUAUACACACUAUAGCUUAGAGCCAUCCUGUCCCAUACGGUAACCACUAACCUUCUGUGGUUACACUUUUAAAUUAAUUAAAGUGAAGUGAAAUCAGUCACACUGGCCCCAUUUUAGGUGUUCCGGACCCGCCUGUGGCUAGUGGUAACCGCGCUGGACCUCCUGGCAGAUCUGGUGCCUUUCUGUCAUUGUAGAAAGUUCUAAUGGAUAACAUGGAAGAGGAAAGACACCACAUCACCACUGGGAGAAAUGUUAAGCAGAGAGGCUUUGUUUCCAGAUACCUCCCUCACUUAAGAACCCCCCUGUAGCUGGUUUUACCAGCCCACAAACUCAGAAUUCUUGGGGAUGCCAGAGAAAAGCUGGAUCGGUGUGUAUGUUGAUGUAGAAAUGCCAAAAGUUAAGACCUCAGGACCUCACAGCUGUUCAUGUUUUCCAAUCCAUUCUUAGACAUUUAAGCCAUUCCUUUCACUCUUCAGGGUCCAACCACCCCAACUGCGAUGUCUGGGAUGAGACACACUUUAAUAUCAAAUGCUCUCUUUUGAAGAACUCCUCUAUGAAGGAUUGCCAACAUUUAAGCAUGUCCGAAAAUAAGAAUUUGCUCUCUGUGUGCUAUUAAUAAUUAGCAGUCAAUUAAUAAUUUCAGCUCUCAGCGUGUUAGAAAAGGCAACCCACAUUUUUUUUUAGGAGAAAAAAAGAAAAAGUCACCCUUGAAGCAGCCAUGGCAUUUCACAUGCGAAAGCAGAGUCGGCCUUGAAUUCUGGGGCUGGGAUCUGCUGAGGCACAUCAACUAUUGGGUUUCACAUAUCUUUACUGUUAUCACUACUCAAAGAGCAUAUGCUUUAUACCUUGAAAUGGAGGCAAACACUCCUUAUUGUUUGUAGAGAAGAUAGGUGUGGGCCCCAGCCUCAUCUGUACCUCGCCACAGGUUCUGUGAUGUCCAAAGACCAAAGCUACGGAUGAACAUUUCAAUCCACUUACACAAAAGUUUGCAACGACUAAUUCAAGUCUGAAACACUUGCUAAAGCAACUUACAAGUCAGGUUCUCCGGAGAGUUUUCCCCCUGCUUUAAAUCACUGGAGACAAACUACCUCUUGCCAGGUCUUGUUUGUAAGAGGACAGCAGUACCUCCUCUAUCAGAACAAAUCAAAUUCCCUCGUAUGUGACCUUCAAGUAAAGACUGGAGAGCAGCCAGAGAACCUGCAAACGUCUUACAUCUGAACAGAACAUGGAGACGCCAGGAGAAGCUGCUGAUUGUGAUGGCCCCUUGUGCAGUGAGUGUGCAGGGAGGCUUGCCCUGUGCUCCUGGGAGACUGCACACCCCACUGACGUGGGUACCAUUCUUCCUUAAAGGCCUGUGUGUAUGUAAAACUCGAUGGCUUUGCUGUAGUCUUGAAACGAAUACAGCAUUGUAAGUCCAAUAUACGCCAAUAAUUUUUUUUAUUUGAAAAUAAAGAAAUUAGGAGUUCCCGUCAUGGCGCAGCAGAAAUGAAUCUGACUAGGAACCAUGAGGUUGUGGGUUCAAUCCCUGGCCUCGCUCAUGGGUUAAGGAUCUGGCGUUGCAUGAGCUGUGCUGUAGGUCACAGGCAUGGCUCGGAUCUUGCAUGGCUGUGGCUGUGGCUGUGGUGUAGGCCGACGGCUACAGCUCCCAUUAGAUCCCUGACCUGGGAACCUCCAUACGCCACAGGUACAGCCCUAAAAAGAAAAAAAAAAGAAGAAGGUGUGACACAGGACCAGGAAGGGGAGUGGCACUAGCUUCUGUCCAGUGGUUUUACACACCUUGAUAGUAUCAAAGAUCACCUACAAAAUAUCGCAGCAGAAAUACUUUUCUAAACCAACUUCUGGGCUCUGUUGAGUAUCAGUUGGCAUUUCCAACAUAACAAAGUCCUGAAACAAUAUGUAUUUAUUAUUUCUCAUGAUUUUGUGCACUGCCUGCACACUGCUUCUGUCCUGGUCCAGUUAGGUGAGGUGAGAUGGCCUAAAACGGCCUCACCGACAUAUCCGGGUUCUCAGCUGGGACCCUGGGGCUCCCUCCAUGUGCUGGCAU